GAUGAACGCUGGCGGCGUGCCUAAUACAUGCAAGUCGAGCGAACAGAUGAGGAGCUUGCUCCUCUGACGUUAGCGGCGGACGGGUGAGUAACACGUGGAUAACCUACCUAUAAGACUGGGAUAACUUCGGGAAACCGGAGCUAAUACCGGAUAAUAUAUUGAACCGCAUGGUUCAAUAGUGAAAGACGGUUUUGCUGUCACUUAUAGAUGGAUCCGCGCCGCAUUAGCUAGUUGGUAAGGUAACGGCUUACCAAGGCAACGAUGCGUAGCCGACCUGAGAGGGUGAUCGGCCACACUGGCACUGAGACACGGUCCAGACUCCUACGGGAGGCAGCAGUAGGGAAUCUUCCGCAAUGGGCGAAAGCCUGACGGAGCAACGCCGCGUGAGUGAUGAAGGUCUUCGGAUCGUAAAACUCUGUUAUUAGGGAAGAACAAAUGUGUAAGUAACUAUGCACGUCUUGACGGUACCUAAUCAGAAAGCCACGGCUAACUACGUG
rnacentral:rRNA from 1 species